UACGGAGGAUCCGAGCGUUAUCCGGAUUUAUUGGGUUUAAAGGGUGCGCAGGCGGGGGAUUAAGUCGGUGGUGAAAUUUUGCAGCUCAACUGUAAAAGUGCCAUUGAUACUGGUUUUCUUGAGUGUGGAUGAAGUAGGCGGGAUUUGUGGUGUAGCGGUGAAAUGCAUAGAUAUCACGAGGAACUCCGAUUGCGCAGGCAGCUUACUAAACCAUAACUGACGCUCAGGCACGAAGGCGUGGGGAUCAAACAGGAUUAGAUA
rnacentral:rRNA from 1 species